AUAUUUUGUUGUAUAUUAGGUGUCAUAAAUUAUUCUUUGAUUCUUAACAUAUUCAUCCCUUCUGGUGAUUUGUUAUUUUUUUAGUCACUAAUCGCCUAAUUUAUGAUUAUUCCAUGCUUAUUACUAUAAUGAAAAAUCCAAUUCACAAACUAUGCAUCGUUAAAAUUUGCAUUUUAAUAAUAGGUCUUCAGGUUUACUGCUAGGAAUAAGUUGGACCAAAACCUAUCUCAUCGAAGGUAGUGAAGCAUGAGAUGUAGAGGAAGAGGGUAACUGGAAGACAAAAAUGAAGCAAAGAUUUCAUUACUCUGAAGUUCUUACAUCAUUGCUGUAGAUAGAAGUCAUUACAAGUCAAGGUGGUUGCAGAAAGGUAAACACAUUGAGUUUGGUGCGAAGCUCUUUAAAUCGAGUUGAUGGUGGUGACGUGUGAAUGAAUUCGGAUGUUGGUCAACGACAUACACAUGAAGGACAACUACAGAUUUAGACAAUCCCUAUUUCUAGACAAAAUGAAUGUCCAAUUCUAUGUGCUUUGUACAAGCAUGCAAAACUGGAUCAUAAGAAAGUAGAGCGACAUUGAGGUUAUCACAUAACAACAUAGAAGUGUGAAAAGGAACAUGUAGUUCAUUCAUGACAAAUUGUAGCCAUAGAAAUUUAGCUGUGUGUGCGCCACAUUGUCGUAGCAUGCAGCCGAUACUUGUUUCUUAGAACACUCCAAGAUACAAGAUUUGGUUCAAAUAAGAUACAUGAGUUUUCCUCUUCCUUUAA